rnacentral:RNase_P_RNA from 1 species
AUUUUCGGAUAAUCGCGGUUUGACUAGAUCAAGCUGAGGAAAGUCCAUGCUCGCACAAGCUGAGAUGCUUGUAGUGUUCGUGCCUAGCGAAACCAUAAGCUAGGGUACUUUAUAAAGUAACGGCAGGAAAACCGGCUAAGGUGUAAACUAUGUCCAAGUAUCCUUGAAAGUGCCACAGUGACGAAGCAAUAAGGGAAACUUUAUUGGUGGAACGCGGUAAACCCCUCGAGCGAGCAACCCAAACAAUGGUCGGGGCGCUUAUUGUAACGGAAAUGAACGGGACAAUGAGGCAAUUUUGAAUUGCAGAUAGAUGAUUAUCCAUAUUAUUUUGCUCCCUGUAAAAUAAUUGGACAAAACAUGGCUUAUAGAA